AGAAACUCAUAUUCGUGCGGCUCCAUUUCUCUGUUUCAGGAGUCAGGCUGUCUGGGCUCCGGGACAAACCUGCUGCCCAAAGUUGGAGCUGCUGCAGAAGAUGAACUGGGAUACAAAGCAGAUUCUCAUCUUCAUUCCUUAUAGGGGUGCCAGGCAUAUAAACAAGUCUGGAGGCUCUAGCCUGACAUGGUGUUGUGGCAGUAGCACAACACAAACUGCUCUCCCAGGACAUUCAUCUGAAAAACAGCAGAAUAAGAAGAGCAAACAAUAAAUCAUUCCUGAACAAGGGAGCUCUGAACUCAAAAAUCUUGACGUGGAGACGUUAUCUGAGCGUUACUGAGUUCUUGCUGUCUCUAAGCAAUAGCUGCACAGCUCAGCACCACGUGCAAUGAAUAACCACUGAUGUUCUGCUGCUCCUCUGCUAGCUUCCACUCCCCAUGAAAAUAUCCCACUGCUGCAGGGCUGCCUUGCUUCACAGUCUGACCAUCCCUGCUGAGGGUUGCUGCUUUGGACACAUUCCACUAUCCCAGGUUGCUCCAAGCCCUGUCUAACCUGGCUUUGAACACUUCCAGAUUGAAUGCUGAGUCCAAAUGUUUAUAAGGAAAAAUAUUUCCAUCUACACGUCAGCAGUGAUCUACCCAGUGGUGCAGGAGAGAAACAAAAAGCUGAUUUUUCUCUUGCCACAACCCCAGCUGUAAGAAAUGUGAACAAUGAGGCACAGAGCACCACUGAAGUUCCAAAGAAAACAAGGUUACAUGCAGACAGACUUGAGCCAGAUAAGCUGACACAAUCUGUAUCCCAUAUGAGAAGCUUUGCCAGGGAAUUUGAAGCCAAUCUUUGCUUCCAUUUUUAAGCAGAAAAUCCUUAUGUCAAAAAAAAAAAAAACCCAAACCUGUAGAGAAAAGCAUGGACUGAGUAUUUGGGGCAAAAGACAUAAAAAUAAACAUGCACCACUGAA